AAUUUUGGACAAUGGGCGCAAGCCUGAUCCAGCAAUGCCGCGUGCAGGAUGAAGGCCAUCGGGUUGUCCCCUGCUUUUGUACGGAACGAAAAGCCCUGGGUUAAUACCCUGGGAGCAUGACGGUACCGUAAGAAUAAGCACCGGCUAACUACGUGCCAGCCGCCGCGGUAAUACGUAGGGUGCGAGCGUUAAUCGGAAUUACUAGGCGUAACGCGUGCGCAGGCGGUUUUGUAAGACAGAGGUGAAAUCCCCGGGCUCAACCUGGGAACUGCCUUUGUGACUGCAAGGCUAGAGUACGGCAGAGGGGGAUGGAAUUCCGCGUGUAGCAGUGAAAUGCGUAGAUAUGCGGAGGAACACCGAUGGCGAAGGCAAUCCCCUGGGCCUGUACUGACGCUCAUGCACGAAAGCGUGGGGAGCAAACAGG
rnacentral:rRNA from 1 species